rnacentral:rRNA from 1 species
UACGAAGGGUGCGAGCGUUAUUCGGAGCUAUUGGGCGUAAAGAGCGCGUAGGCGGUCAUGUAAGUCAGUUGUUAAAGAACCCAGCUUAACUGGGUAAAGGCGAUUGAAACUGCGUGGCUAGAGGGUGAGAGAGAUAAGCGGAAUUCUCGGAGUAGCGGUAAAAUGCGUAGAUCUCGAGAGGAACACCGGUGGCGAAGGCGGCUUAUGGCUUACAUCUGACGCUAAAGUGCGAAAGCGUGGAGAGCAAACAGG